GCACUGCUGAGGAGUCCCGUGCUGGGACGAAACGGUCGUCCAGUGC
rnacentral:hammerhead_ribozyme from 1 species